AACGAACGCUGGCGGCAGGCUUAACACAUGCAAGUCGAACGCACCGCAAGGUGAGUGGCAGACGGGUGAGUAACACGUGGGGAUCUGCCCAAUGGUACGGAAUAGCUCCGGGAAACUGGAAUUAAUACCGUAUGAGCCCGCAAGGGGAAAGAUUUAUAGCCAUUGGAUGAACCCGCGUCGGAUUAGCUAGGUGGUGUGGUAAGGGCGCACCAAGGCGAAGAUCCGUAGCUGGUCUGAGAGGAUGAUCAGCCACACUGGGACUAAUACACGGCCCAGACUCCGACGGGAGGCAGCAGUGGGGAAUAUUGGACAAUGGGCGCAAGCCUGAUCCAGCCAUGCCGCGUGAGUGAUGAAGGCCUUAGGGUUGUAAAGCUCUUUCGCCGACGAAGAUAAUGACGGUAGUCGGAGAAGAAGCCCCGGCUAACUUCGUGCCAGCCGCCGCCGUAACAC
rnacentral:rRNA from 1 species